rnacentral:rRNA from 1 species
ACUCCUGCGGGAGGCAGCAGUGGGGAAUUUUGGACAAUGGGCGAAAGCCUGAUCCAGCAAUGCCGCGUGAGUGAAGAAGGCCUUCGGGUUGUAAAGCUCUUUUGUCAGGGAAGAAACGGUGAGAGCUAAUAUCUCUUGCUAAUGACGGUACCUGAAGAAUAAGCACCGGCUAACUACGUGCCAGCAGCCGCGGUAAUACGUAGGGUGCAAGCGUUAAUCGGAAUUACUGGGCGUAAAGCGUGCGCAGGCGGUUUUGUAAGUCUGAUGUGAAAUCCCCGGGCUCAACCUGGGAAUUGCAUUGGAGACUGCAAGGCUAGAAUCUGGCAGAGGGGGGUAGAAUUCCACGUGUAGCAGUGAAAUGCGUAGAUAUGUGGAGGAACACCGAUGGCGAAGGCAGCCCCCUGGGUCAAGAUUGACGCUCAUGCACGAAAGCGUGGGGAGCAAACAGGAUUAGAAACCCCUGUAGUCCCAUGA